ensembl:lncRNA
CAGACCUUUCCCUGACAUUCUCUUUUGUCACCCUGUUUGAUUUGUGUUUGUCAUUGACUUAGAUGACCAGAGAAACUCCCCAUACGAUAAUUUGUGUGCCUUGCCUCAAGCCCACGCCAACCUAUCCCACACCACCACCAGCGGACACAGGCACAGCUGUGGAGUCAAAGCUGUUACCGGGACAGAAGGCUUCUUCGUCUCCUCAUACAAUGGCAGAGGCCUGGUGAGGAAGCCAACCCAGGAGAACUGUGGGCCUAGGAGGAGAGGAGCACCUGGUUCAGGGAACAGAAGGCUUCCUCUUCCAUCCCAGUCACAGGUACACUUCAACUGUAAGUGACGGAAUCUCCUUUGUUGUUCUCCCCACUGUGCAUCAAGCAAAAAUGGGAAAACAUUUCACUUUCAAAACUACAGCAGUUGGUCUCCUCAGUUCCCAAACGC